GAUGAACGCUAGCGGGAGGCUUAACACAUGCAAGUCGAGGGGCAGCAUAGGGUAGCAAUACUCUGAUGGCGACCGGCGCACGGGUGAGUAACGCGUAUGCAACCUACCCUUUACCGGGGGAUAGCUCGGAGAAAUCCGGAUUAAUACCCCAUGACAUUCCGGGGGCGCAUGUUUCCGGGAUUAAAAACUACGGUGGUAAAGGAUGGGGCAUGCGUAACAUUAGCUAGUUGGUGAGGUAACGGCUCACCAAAGGCUACGAUGUUUAGGGGACCUGAGAGGGUGAUCCCCACACUGGUACUGAGACACGGACCAGACUCCUACGGGAGCAGCAGUGAGGAAUAUUGGUCAAUGGUCGGAAGACUGAACCAGCCAUGCCGCGUGCAGGAAGAAGCAUCUAUGGUGUGUAAACUGCUUUUGUACGGGAAGAAACAUCCUACGUGUAGGAGCUUGACGGUACCGUAAGAAUAAGGAUCGGCUAACUCCGUGCCAGCAAGCCGCGGUAAUAGGU
rnacentral:rRNA from 1 species